rnacentral:rRNA from 1 species
AGAGUUUGAUCCUGGCUCAGGAUGAACGCUAGCGACAGGCUUAACACAUGCAAGUCGAGGGGCAGCACAGGUAGCAAUACCGGGUGGCGACCGGCGCACGGGUGAGUAACGCGUAUGCAACUUGCCUAUCAGAGGGGGAUAACCCGGCGAAAGUCGGACUAAUACCGCAUGAAGCAGGGGCCCCGCAUGGGGAUAUUUGCUAAAGAUUCAUCGCUGAUAGAUAGGCAUGCGUUCCAUUAGGCAGUUGGCGGGGUAACGGCCCACCAAACCGACGAUGGAUAGGGGUUCUGAGAGGAAGGUCCCCCACAUUGGUACUGAGACACGGACCAAACUCCUACGGGAGGCAGCAGUGAGGAAUAUUGGUCAAUGGGCGUAAGCCUGAACCAGCCAAGUCGCGUGAGGGAUGAAGGUUCUAUGGAUCGUAAACCUCUUUUAUAAGGGAAUAAAGUGCGGGACGUGUCCCGUUUUGUAUGUACCUUAUGAAUAAGGAUCGGCUAACUCCGUGCCAGCAGCCGCGGUAA